CGUUUCUCCGCCGGCGACCGGCGCACGGGUGAGUAACACGUAUGCAACCUGCCCCUGUCAGGGGGACAACCCGCCGAAAGGCGGGCUAAACCCGCGUACAUGCCACCGGGGCAUCCCGGAGGCAGGAAAGGCUUCGGCCGGACAGGGAUGGGCAUGCGGCGCAUUAGGCAGUAGGCGGGGUAACGGCCCACCUAACCGACGAUGCGUAGGGGUUCUGAGAGGAAGGUCCCCCGCACUGGUACUGAGACACGGACCAGACUCCUACGGGAGGCAGCAG
rnacentral:rRNA from 1 species